UUGAACGCUGGCGGCAUGCCUUACACAUGCAAGUCGAACGGCAGCACGGGUGCUUGCACCUGGUGGCGAGUGGUGAACGGGUGAGUAAUACAUCGGAACAUGUCCUGUAGUGGGGGAUAGCCCGGCGAAAGCCGGAUUAAUACCGCAUACGAUCUACGGAUGAAAGCGGGGGACCUUCGGGCCUCGCGCUAUAGGGUUGGCCGAUGGCUGAUUAGCUAGUUGGUGGGGUAAAGGCCUACCAAGGCGACGAUCAGUAGCUGGUCUGAGAGGACGACCAGCCACACUGGGACUGAGACACGGCCCAGACUCCUACGGGAGGCAGCAGUGGGGAAUUUUGGACAAUGGGCGAAAGCCUGAUCCAGCAAUGCCGCGUGUGUGAAGAAGGCCUUCGGGUUGUAAAGCACUUUUGUCCGGAAAGAAAUCCUUGGCCCUAAUACGGUCGGGGGAUGACGGUACCGGAAGAAUAAGCACCGGCUAACUACGU
rnacentral:rRNA from 1 species